CAGCCAUAUUUCUUCAGACAAAAUCCUUAUUUUCCAACACAGCUGGACUCAUUUACCUCAAUCUCCCCAUUCCAUCAAAUUCCAUAUCAAAUCUUGAUGACGCUCACCAACAUAAUGCAAAAAUUCAGCUGGCUAUCGAAAAGGUGGCACACAGGACGGACCAACUGACCUGCAAGGUUCAUUUAUCUGGGGCAUUGUGUUCCUCCACUACACACGCGUAUCCUCUGCAGCAGGAUGUGCUGAAUCUCCAGCAGAGGGUGACAGAGAUACAGGGAGGACAAACACAAUCACUGUGCUCAGAUCAGCCUUCUGGAGGCAGAGGUGGAAGAGCUUGUGAAGCAAGGAGAACAGUCUGAGCAGCAGUGGAGGGCAGAGAAGCAGAAUUGCAAAGAGAUGGAAGCCAUUAUAUAAAACAUGGAUGAGAUGAUGCAAGAUCGGAGGGCUGAAAAGGAGAAUCUGGAUCAGAUCCUGUCAGACAGGAAGAGGAAGUGGCAGGUACAGCGGGAGCGCAGGAAGAACAGCAUCAGAGAAGACAGCAGGAGAUGCUACAUACAGCAGUUUGAGACAGUUGGCUGUUUAGGUGAAACAAGUGAUGAAUGGAGUAUAUCCGUCUCUCAGGACAGAGUUUUGACUUGCAGGAAUCUUACAGUGGACACAUAGUGCUCGAGAUUCGCCAAAACACCAUCAAGAACCUUGGGAGCUUGAAUCAGACGUAGAUGAAGAUAAAGUGGAAGAGUGCUUGUCUACUGAAGAGUUUUUGAAAUGAAAUGAAAUAGAAGGAAAAGGCCAACAUUAAAAAGGAAGUAUUUAUGUUAACAGAACAAUAUGUAGAUCAGAACAUCUGUAUAUUGCAGUCUGUUCAACCAUAGCCAUUUGUUCAUAUAUUGAGACCCUAAAAGGGAAUUGAUACUGUCUAAUCACAGUUAAGGAGGAUAAAUAAUGUCCAAUCAAUGGGCAGCUGAUCCUUUCCCAAUGAUACAAAGCAGCCAGUUCUUCAGUCAUUGAACUAAAAGAACUCUGAUUCAUAACGGCAUCCUGACAGGAUAUGACUAGCAAGGUUGCAAGUCAAGUAAAGUUAACUAGAUACACAUAAAUGUAAUAUUUACUCAAGUAUGUUUGAUGAUUUAUCUUUCAGAAAAUUAUCUAAUUUAGUAUUUGGGUUUUAUUUAUAAUUAUAAAAUAUUGCAAAAUCAAGACUAAUCUAAUCAACUUUCUGGGCUUGACAUUUCAGACGUAUCUGGAAUUGAGGACUAAUAUUGAUGUAGUGAACAUGUAACUAAAUA
ensembl:lncRNA